rnacentral:tRNA from 1 species
GAGGGUGUAGCUCAGUGGUACAGCACUUGCCUGGCAUGUAGGAAGUCCUGGGUUUGAGCCCCAGCACCAUAA